rnacentral:rRNA from 1 species
CCUACGGGUGGCUGCAGUGAGGAAUAUUGGUCAAUGGGCGCAAGCCUGAACCAGCCAUCCCGCGUGCAGGAAGAAGGCGCUAUGCGUUGUAAACUGCUUUUCCAGGGGGCGAACCUCCCGCACGAGUGCGGGACUGACGGUACCUUGGGAAUAAGCAUCGGCUAACUCCGUGCCAGCAGCCGCGGUAAUACGGAGGAUGCGAGCGUUAUCCGGAUUUAUUGGGUUUAAAGGGUGCGUAGGCGGAUUAAUAAGUCAGUGGUGAAAACCUGCAGCUUAACUGUGGAACUGCCGUUGAUACUGUUAGUCUUGAGUAUGGUCAAGGUAGGCGGAAUGUGUAAUGUAGCGGUGAAAUGCUUAGAUAUUACACAGAACACCGAUUGCGAAGGCAGCUUACUGGGCCGUUACUGACGCUGAUGCACGAAAGCGUGGGGAUCGAACAGGAUUAGAUACCCCUGUAGUC